rnacentral:rRNA from 1 species
GACAGAGGGUGCAAACGUUGUUCGGAAUUACUGGGCGUAAAGAGCGCGCAGGCGGUCGUUCAAGUCGCGUGUGAAAGCCCCCGGCUCAACUGGGGAGGGUCACGCGAUACUGAUCGACUCGAAGGCAGGAGAGGGAAGUGGAAUUCCCGGUGUAGUGGUGAAAUGCGUAGAUAUCGGGAGGAACACCAGUGGCGAAGGCGACUUCCUGGCCUGUUCUUGACGCUGAGGCGCGAAAGCUAGGGGAGCAAACGGG